rnacentral:rRNA from 1 species
GACGAACGCUGGCGGCGUGCCUAAUACAUGCAAGUAGGACGCAGUUGCGAACGGGGGAGUAACGCGUAGGUAACUACCUAUUAGAGGGGGAUAAAUAGUGGAAACGAUAGCAAAUACCGCAUACUAGGAGAUGGACCUUAGUUGGAUUAGCUAGUAGGUUGGGUAAUGGCCUACCUAGGCAACGAUACAUAGCCGACCUGGGAGGGUGAUCGGCCCCAAUGGGACUUAGACCCGGCCCAGAAUCCCACGGGAAGCAGCAGUAGGGAAUCUUCGGAAAUGGGGGGAAACCUGACCGAGCAACGCCGCGUGAGUGAAGAAGGUUUUCGGAUCGUUAAGCUCUGUUGUUAAGGGAGCGGUACUUAACCAGAAAGGGACGGCUAACUACGUGCCAGCAGCCGCGGUAAUUC